rnacentral:rRNA from 1 species
GGGGAAUAUUGCACAAUGGGCGGAAGCCUGAUGCAGCGACGCCGCGUGAGGGAUGACGGCCUUCGGGUUGUAAACCUCUUUCAGCAGGGACGAAGCGCAAGUGACGGUACCUGCAGAAGAAGCACCGGCUAACUACGUGCCAGCAGCCGCGGUAAUACGUAGGGUGCGAGCGUUGUCCGGAAUUACUGGGCGUAAAGAGUUCGUAGGCGGUUUGUCACGUCGUGUGUGAAAUCCCACAGCUUAACUGUGGGCUUGCAGGCGAUACGGGCAGACUUGAGUACUGCGGGGGAGACUGGAAUUCCUGGUGUAGCGGUGAAAUGCGCAGAUAUCAGGAGGAACACCGGUGGCGAAGGCGGGUCUCUGGGCAGUAACUGACGCUGAGGAACGAAAGCGUGGGGAGCGAAC